UACGAAGGGGGCUAGCGUUGCUCGGAAUCACUGGGCGUAAAGCGCACGUAGGCGGAUUGCUAAGUCAGGGGUGAAAUCCUGGAGCUCAACUCCAGAACUGCCUUUGAUACUGGCGGUCUCGAGUCCGGGAGAGGUGAGUGGAAUUCCCAGUGUAGAGGUGAAAUUCGUAGAUAUUCGGAAGAACACCAGUGGCGAAGGCGACUCACUGGACACAUAUUGACGCUGAGGUGCGAAAGCGUGGGGAGCAAACAGG
rnacentral:rRNA from 1 species